UUGCUUUUAUUCUGCUCACUGCUGGGUGCUGCUGCACAGUGGAAGCUGCGGAGCUUGUGCAGCAGACUCCGCUUGGCUCAAGGACGAGGUGGUAGCAGAGAGAAGAUGUCCCAGAGUCCUUAGGAGGCCAGUGAGUGUGCCCAGCCAGCAGGGUGGCAGAUUGCCUGGUGGCUUUGUGCUGCCAGAAUGCAGCUGGAGGAGGAGCAGAAACUGCAUCUAGAGCACAGGCUGGCCUGGCUGAGGAGAGAAUUGAUGAGAUCCCAUACAAGGAGAGGGGCAUUUCCAGGGGAGUGCACCCCAUGUUUCCAUGAUAUUCUACCAUGGGCCCUUUCCUGAGAGACCGGGAAACACAGCCAAGAUGAUGAUAGUCAUUUAGAAUUGCGGACCCCACAGUGACAGAACAGCAUGGGGGUAAGUCAGAGAUGCAGCUCCAGGAUCAGCAGCUGCUGGAGAAGCUGUUACAGCUGCACACCAGCAUGCAGGAGCUGAAAGUGGAAUGCGCUU